rnacentral:siRNA from 1 species
GGAGUGUUAUGAAUAAAGAUGGAU